rnacentral:rRNA from 1 species
UACGGGGGGGGUAAGCGUUGUUCGGAAUUACUGGGCGUAAAGGGCUCGUAGGCGGCCAACUAAGUCAUACGUGAAAUCCCUCAGCUUAACUGGGGAACUGCGUCUGAUACUGGAUGGCUUGGAUUUGGGAGAGGGAUGCGGAAUUCCAGGUGUAGCGGUGAAAUGCGUAGAUAUCUGGAGGAACACCGGUGGCGAAGGCGGCGUUCUGGACUGCUACUGACACUGAGGAACGAAAGCCAGGGGAGCAAACGGG